GAGACAGUCUCGCUUUGUCACCCAGGCUGGAGUGCAGUGGCACAACCUUGGCUCACUGCAACCUCCGCCUCCUGGGUUCAAGUGAUUCUCGUGCCUCCCAGGUAGCUGGGAUUACAGGUGUGCACCACCAUGCCCAGCUAAUUUUUAUAUUUUUAGUAGAGAUGGGGUUUUGCCAUGUCGGCCAAACUGGUUUAGAACUCCUGGCCUCAAAUGGUCUGCCCACCUUGGCAUCCCAAAAUGCUGGGAUUACAGGCAUAAGCCACCGCGCCCAGCCAACACUUAACUGAUUUCUUAUUUCCUAAUAGAAAGGAUUCUGUUUGGUAUCCUAUAAUACUGAUGCAGCUUGAUUUGCUCUGUACACCCAGGAGUCUUCUGACAACUCUUGUGUUCCUGUGGUGGCUAAUGUCCCACAAAAUGGAAACACAUAUGGCAAGGAAAAUUAAAGUAGAACCUGUGAUAGUAAGAAAGUUCAUGAAUGCUGAAACAAUGACAACAAAAUUUCAUUUAAAGAGACUUAAAUAAAACAAGAUGGAGGAAGGCCCAAGCUUAUGGUGAAGCUGAUACUACUUGCAGUUUAAUAUAUCUAACCAUUUUAUAUUAACAGAACAAACUGGACUUAUCUAAUUCCUACAUUCAUAACUUUUUUAGAUCUCCAAAGCAUAAACAUUUCUUCCACAACUCAAGAUUUCCAAUUCUUUUUUAAUAAUCUAGUAUGAUGACCCUUUUAUAUUCAAGUAGAUCUCUCUGCAAUGAGAACACUUGUUCAACAAGUACUUGUGUCAUGAAUCUGUGUGCUUAAAUAAAAGAAGCAUACUGUGACUUCUGUGCUUCAGUCUGAGUUCUCAGAAAUACACUGGCUAAGACAAUGUUUUGAGAAGAUAAAACUUUGAAAGCUACCAUUAUACCUAUUACACUACAAGUUCUACCUCUCAUUUAACCUUACAUUCCUGACGUAGUUUUUAGAAGUCCUAUAUAGAUGGGUUAGUUCAACAUUAAAAUUAUGGAAUUCUGUGGGAAAAACUGAGGCAAGGCCUACUAAAACUACAAAUAAUUAAGGUAAGGGCAACAACAUCAAAAAAACUACAACUAUUAUGGAUCUGGUAUUAUGGGAAUGAACAGCCUUUGAGUAAUAAAGAUAGCAAUGGAUCAUGAGUUAUCUCUUUUUCAGGCCAAGUUUUGAUAAAGUUUUACUCAUAACAAUACCCCCCACACUACACACACACACACACACACACACACACACACACACACACACACACACAGAGAGAGAGAGAGAGGGAGAGAAAUGAUAUAAUUCAAGACAAGAUUUGCCAUAUGCAGAGUUAACUAACAUACAUUAUAGGAGCGAUGUCAAGAAGCACAGGUAAAACUGAAGAAUCUUAAGUGAUUUUGAGAAGUUACAAAAUUUAAAUUUUGUAUCAAAGUGGAAUUUAGUACCACAUGGUAAAAAACCAGCAACGACAACAAAACUCUCAAAAGUUUAGUAUUUUUCCCUCACUCUAAAAAUAUAAAAACACAUUAACUUUCACUAUCAACUAAAUUAUCAUUCAUUUAACCAAAGCACAAGAAUAAAGACUUACAAUCACUUCAGUUGAAUAAGACAUAUUUAGAUGAUUCUGUGAUUCUCAGGAUAUAAUAUUUUCUACUCUAAAACAGAUAAAUUUUAGAAAAGACUAAAUUGGGGAAAACACACUAGGAUUAAAGAAGACUAUUUUUUUAGCUUACCAGCCUUUUAAAUUUUAUUAUAUAAAAAUAUUUUCAUAAAAUAAAAUAUAAUUUUAUUCACAAUUCCAUACAUUCUAACUUGAUACCUGCCGAAUAAAAAAAGGGUGACCUUUCCCACUGUCUGACUCUGUGGAGUGUUUUAAGUGCUCACAAAUGGGUAAAUACCCUUUUUAUGUACAUAGAAACUGUUUUCAAACAAAAUAUAAAGUUCUCAAGAAUUAUUAGGAAGAAAGCUUUUCUCCUAAGAAUCAAAGAAACACAACAAUCUAGGUAUAAGUCUGCAUAGCUCAAAAAUUCAAGUACAGUAUUUCUCUUUCAGAAGGAGUAAAAUGCCAUACAGUUUCGGACAUCCUCCCUCAUUUUUCUUCUUUCCUUCUUUGACCACUCCUUUUAUGUUAGUUUGGACACACAAAAAAAGAAAAACUACAAUUUUUAACUAAACAAAAGCACUAUUUUUGAUAGUGAAAAAAAUUCAAAGGCUCUGUUUUAAAAUAUGCUUCUAAUAUGCUACACUAUCAUAUAAAAUGAAAAUUCACACAUGGGUAUGAUUCAGAGAGAAAGUUUCUAUGAUCUAUGAUGCCAAAAGGCAACUUAAAUUGCAUUCUUAGUGAUAGUGAUAAAAGUCACAAUGAAAACCACUGGUGUUACCAAAAUGCUUGCCACGAAUGUAGAAAUACUAACCUAAAGUAUAUCUACGGCAGGGAGUGAUAAAGGUGUACAGAUCUGGGGACUAUCACCAUUUAUGAAUAAAAUAAUUAUA
rnacentral:lncRNA from 1 species